rnacentral:pre_miRNA from 1 species
UUUGACAUAAAUAGUGAGUAGCCGACUUGGGAGAAGUUAUCAACCUUUGGGAUAAAAUUAAAUUUGCUUCUUUUUACUCCAAUUUUUUUUUACCGUGGGUAAAAAGAAUCUUCUUGGGGUAUAAAAAGAACUAGAUUUAGAUUUAACCCAAGGGUUGAUGAUGUCCUUUCCCCCAAGAAGGCUGCUCACUAUUUAGCCCAAG